CGGCGCGCCUAACACAUGCAAGUCGAACGGGGAAGUUAGCAAUAACUUUCUAGUGGCGAACGGGUGAGUAACGCGUAGACAACCAACCUUGUAGUGGGGGACAACACUUCGAAAGGAGUGCUAAUACCGCAUAAUCUCCUGAGAUCGCAUGGUCAUGGGAGGAAAAGAGCCGCAAGGCUCCGCUAUAAGACGGGUCUGCGUCUGAUUAGCUAGUUGGAGGGGUAACGGCCCACCAAGGCGACGAUCAGUAGCCGGUCUGAGAGGAUGAACGGCCACACUGGGACUGAGACACGGCCCAGACUCCUACGGGAGGCAGCAGUGGGGAAUCUUCCGCAAUGGACGAAAGUCUGACGGAGCGACGCCGCGUGAGUGAUGAAGGCCCUUGGGUCGUAAAGCUCUGUCAUUGGGGACGAACGACCGCUUCAGGAAAUGGGAGCGGAGUGACGGUACCCAAGAAGGAAGCCACGGCUAACUACGUGCCAGCAGCCGCGGUAAUACGUAGGUGGCAAGCGUCGUCCGGAAUUAUUGGGCGUAAAGCGCGCGCAGGUGGGAUCUUAAGUCUGUUCUGAAAGUUCGGAGCUUAACUCCGUGAUGGGAU
rnacentral:rRNA from 1 species